AGGUUUAACCGCGUCGGACUGGACUUACUGCAUGGGUUCCUCUGCACUCUUUGCUUAAUAUACUUGGAAAAUUACCCACUUUGUUUGAGAAGGCAGUAAUGACUGCCAACGGAUUCCGCGGGCAGAGUUGCAGCAUACGGCAUCCAUCAGCGACAUAAUCAAGGAGGAACGUCCACCCGUGCUGUAAUUUCAUUCGUGGCGCAAUCGUAUCAUUUAUUAUUUAGUUAUUCUCAGUCAUAAUAAAGUAACUUUGGUUUUCUUUUCGUCAAA